CAAUCCUGUCAGGAGCAACCAAUAUUAUCAUAAUCGGACCAAACUAAUCGAUUCAAUUAGUGAGAGAGUGAACUAGCACGACGCCUAUCUGAUUCUCAAAUUGAAUCGUUUAAAAUACCAAUUCAACACCAUCUAGCUCUUCCCCCAAAAAAUCCAAGAAGAACCUAGACAUUUUUUUACCGAUGAAUCGUCGGCCAAAAGAAAUAAAAUACUCCAACAUUCUUCUCCAAGCCGUCGGCCACAGGCCCACAACAUAUCGAUUGUCUAUUUUCCCUCACUCCAUGACCAACCUCAACCACUGUGAGAAGCGUCCUCUAUCAAAUCCUCAACACCAAUAGCAGUGAUGGACUCUCCCUAACGGCAACGACUCUCUCUGUAUUCCUCUUGGCCAAAACAGUCUCCACUAGCUUCAAGCCUUCAACCAUCAGCUCCUCAACAUUACAGCAACCCCUGCCAGCACCAGAUCCAACAACCCCAGCUCCAGCACCAUCACCACUAUGACGGUGACUCUCACCGCUAACAUAGGAGUGAAGAGCAGAAGGAGAUCAACCCGACCCGCCCAUUUUUUGUCUUCAUCGGCGACGACGCUUAAACCCACAUGCUGCCACUAUUCAUCCGCUUCCCAAAGUCUUCCACCACUGGUUCCUUGCUUAUAACAACCAAUCUAAUUAAUUCCCAGUUUUUGGAAUAAUCUCAAAUCAUAUUUGUUGACAAUUUGAAAAUUUUGAAAUUUUAGGACAAAAUGUGUAUAAUUUUGGGUUGUUCGAAAACAUUAAUUUGGUUUUGUGUGUGUUAUUUAUUUUAAAAUGAUUUGAUUAUUCAGGUUGUGAUUGUUUUUAAGUUUUUUUUUUGAAGUUGUGAUUGUGUUUUUAAUAUUAAAUAUUAAUUCAUGGAUUAUGUCUGGAUUUAUAUUAAUUUAUUUCAAUUAAUAUAAAAUUUGAAUUAAGUAUAUGAAAUUAAUAAGAAUUGUGUGGAUUGUUUGUGUUGUUUUAGUUUUGAAUGGAUGAAUAUUAAUUCGUCUUGAAUUGAUAUCAUGAUUAAAAUAACUUUGAUUAAAAUAUAUUUUUAUGUUUUGUCAAAUAUAAUCUGUCUGAUUUUAAUAAAUUAUUAAAAGAUCAUCUUGUAUUUAAUUUCAGGUUCCUUAUAUUUUUUUAUCCCUGCAGGAUAUUUUUUAUCCCAGCAUAUUUAGUAUUUGGUAUUGGAAUUCACAUGAGAGUGCUCGUUAAGUAUUAAAUAAAUCAAUUUCUUCCACAAAAUGUUUUCCAUAAUAGUAAACUAGCUUAUUUUAUUGCAUUCAACAAGAAAGACAAGGCACACGCAUGCAUCCAUGCUGCUGGUGCGUAUUAUUCCUCCUAACUAGUCACACAGGAUUAUACUAUUGAACUUUUUUAUUUCUCCAAUGAUAUAUCAUCAUAAAUUCACCUCAGAACUACUCCUUAUAUUUCUACAACAUUGAUAGCACAGCCAGCUUCAACUUUUAAACAGUGGAGGGGAAAACCAUCCGGAGGUUCGAAGGGAGGGGUGUUACUGUUACUGCUACCCACCUUCAAAUAGAAUUUCCUAUUUGACAUGUCAAUGUCAUAUCCCGUGUGGAGCAGCCACUUCAAAUCCCCAAAUGUAUUAUGCCUAUGAACCAAGAGGUUAUAAGGAGCUGUUAGGGUUACUUCAUCUUUAGUAUCUGAAACCCAGCAAACAAUUGAAAACAUAUCUUGGACAAUGAUAAAAGUGUUAUUAGGAAUUUGAUAGCUAUAUAAUAUGAUGUUAUCCUCCAGUAUGAACCCAUUAUACAGUAACCGUGGCUGCAUGAGCCCUAGAGUUUGCCGGAUUUGAUUUUUCAGGUCCCGAACGGUUGCAAGGUCAUCAACCUGCAUGUUAAAGACCCCAUCGAAUUCAAUCUUGACCUGCAUGAUGAUCUGCCGAAGAUAGUAACACAUUUAAACAUUGUAAAUAUAUAUCAGCUUAAAACCUAUCAUGAAAUAAAAUGAAUGGCUGAUUAAGCAAGAAAAUUAGAUGCAUUAAAUAGUAAGAAAUUGAAUCGAGUCACCUUAGUUAGUUUUAGCUGCUGAGAAUUUGAUAUCAGUGCAUGCCACUUAGUUUUGAGAUACUACCUACACACAGAGAAUUACAGUGAGUUAUUUUCUUAUAAACUGUAAAGAUCAUGCCAUGAGGAUGCUAGGGUAGUUUCGGUUUGAUUUGAAUGCUUUUCUGUUCUGGUAAAAAAACAUGCAAAUUAUGAUUGUUGAAUAACUUAUAAUUAAAUAAAUUCCAUGAGGGAAGCAAAUAUCACACGCUUACGGGAAACUUUAUGAUGUCAAUUAAGACUGUAACUUAGGGCAAGAGGGUACUCAUAAUCAUGGGGCAGUAUUAGCCCAAUAAUAAACACAACGGGAUGUUGGCUUGUUGUGGGCUUCACUAAUUAGUACUGGCCCAAUCUUUUCGAGUUAUCUUAAACUCACCAAAAUUAUGGAUUUGGUAAUUUAAUUUAGACUAAAUCAUGUUAUUUUUUAAUGAGAGUAUCUCAAUUUAAUUAUUUUAAUUAUAAGUUUGUUGGAUUUACUCGAGUUAUGUUUUAUAUAUUUUUUAAUUAAUUUGUUUUUUAUGAGAUUAUCUCGGUUUUAUGACAUAAGUUACGGGUUUAACUGAUUAACUUGGGUUAUUUUUUUAAUUUUUUUUAUUCAAUUUCAUACUUCAGUAUUGGUUUGAUUGAGAAUUAGGUUUCAUAAUUUAUUUUAAUUUGCUUUCUAUGAGGUUAUCAUAGUCUCAUAACUCGGGUUGUGAAUUUGACAUGUUAACUUAGGUUAACCCAAGUCAAUUUAAUAUGUUGUUAUUUUAAUAUAAAAAAUAUUAUAUUUAUUUUUUUAGUCAAACUAUUUUUUUACUAGUUAUAAGAAUUGCUUUUAGACUCGCAAAUUCUACUAGAUUAUAUCAACCUUUACAAGAUUUAAAUUUUAUUUUCUCUAGGAAAAAAAUAUUAACCAUUUCUGAGUAUCUUUUUAUAUUUUAAAAAAAAAAUUAACCCAAAUCACAUUAUAUUCUUUCACUAAAAUGGUUUAGUGUAUGUUCCGGGUAUGAUUUUGUUUCUGCUUUUGGUUAGGCCAUGCACGUUAUGUUAAUGCUUUUGUUUCUGCUUUUGGUUAGGCCAUGCACGUUAUGUUAAUGCUUUUAUUUCUGCUUUUAACGUGAGCUCUAGAAAACAAAAACAAAAACUGAAGUUGAAACUAAAGCGUGCCCAAACAGGAACUUAAGCCAUGUGGUGCCCUGUCAAAGAACCAACUCAACCCAAUAGCUUAAACUAUUAGGUAAGGUCCCAGGAUAUGAUUUAUAUUAUUCUCUAACACACCCCCUCAAGUGAAAGCCCUUUGGGCUUUAAACUUGCACAGGCCCACAUUACCUUGUGCUUAAUUUUUAUCAAAUAAAUGGGGAUGGUGAGAUUCGAACUCGUGACCGCUUGGUCAUUAAGGCUCUGAUACCAUGUCAAAGAACCAACUCAACCCAAUAGCUUAAACUAUUAGGUAAGGUCCCAGGAUAUGAUUUAUAUUAUUCUCUAACAUGCCCAAACUGAAGCAACCACUAUUAUCAUAAUUGGACCAAACUAAUCGAUUCAAUUAGUGAAUGAGUGAUCCUAUAAAUCCUAUUCUCAAAUCCAAUUCUUUAAGAAUUUUUUAUUAAAAAAUAAUAUAAAUAAUUUCAUCUAACAAUUUAAGCUAUUAAAUUAAAAUAGUUCAAUUUAACAUAAUAUUAGAGUUAUAAUAACAAAGCGGUCAUGAAUUCGAAUCUUAUCAUCCUAAUUUAUUUGAUAAAAAUUAAAUACAAUGUAAUGUAAAUCUGUACAAGUUUCAACCUUAAAUAGCUUUCAUUUAAUAUGAUAUAUUAAAAAAUAAUAUAAAUCAUAUUUUGUGACUUUACCUAACAACUUAAAUUAUUAGGUUAAAAUAGUUCUUUUACAAUCUUGGCGAAUUCAUAAUGAAUUUACUUUAACUAAAUUAAAUUGAUAAUAAAAAUAAUAAUUUAAUAUAAACUGAUAAAUUAUGGAUUAAACAACUUUAUUUGAUUAAUUGCUAACUUUAAUUAAUUACUAACUUGGAUUAUUUUUUUUCUGUGAGAUGUUAUGCCUUGAUUCGGCUUCUCUUGGAAGUAUUAAGCACUUACUUGUACUACCUAGGCCGUAACCCAUUUGAUCUUAUUUAUUGAUGACAGGGAUCAAACCAUCAUAAACAGAUAUAUUCCAACCACCAUAAAAAAUUUAUUUUAUUUUAAUUUUUAGGCCAAAAAUAUUUUCAUAAAUAAGAAGCACUUCCUUCAACUUAAACAUACAUCUUAAUUCUAAAAAACAUUAAUGUUGUUUUGACAAGAAUCACACUAUAUAAUAAGGUUAAUCCAAACCUUAAUUUUAAGUUGAUUCUUAAGGUUGUUGAAUUUUUGAGUUUAAACUAAUAAAAAAAGAGUAAUUAUUUAUUUUGUUAUUGAAAAACCUUUGUUACAUUCAAUAAGAAAUCAAAAAUGUAAACUAACUUAUAUUAUUGCAUUCAAUAAGAAAGACAAGGCACAUGCAUGCAUCCAUGCUGCUGGUGCCUUUUAUUCCUCCUAACUAGUCACACAUAAUUAAUUAUUAUACUCUUGUGCCUCAUAUUUAUCCUGUGAUAUUAUCAUUAGUUCACGUCGCAGCUUCUUAUUUGUCCACAACAUUGACAGAACAGCGAGCACCAAGGCCUGCAUGGAGGAGGGGACUGCUGUCCGGAGGUUCAAAAUCAGGGAUUUCAAACAAAAUGAAUUUCUUAUUUGUCAUGUCAAUGUCAAAUGCCGUUCGGAGCAUCCACUUCAAUUCCCCAAACGUGUUAUGCCCAUGAACCACGAGGGGAAAGGGACGUGUAUGGGUUACCCCAACUUUACUUUCUCGAACGCAGCAAAUAAUUAUGAACAUCUCUCGGACAAGGAUGCAAGAAUCAUU
rnacentral:lncRNA from 1 species